UGCCCAAUGGUGUAAUGGUAGCACAUCAGUUUUUGGUACUGUUAGUUGGGGUUCGAGUCCCUGUUGGGUAA
rnacentral:tRNA from 1 species